rnacentral:rRNA from 1 species
GACGAACGCUGGCGGCGUGCCUAAUACAUGCAAGUCGAGCGGACCGAACAGGAGCUUGCUCUUGUUCGGUUAGCGGCGGACGGGUGAGUAACACGUGGGUAACCUGCCCGUAAGACCGGUAUAACUCCGGGAAACCGGAGCUAAUACCGGAUAACACCGAAGACCGCAUGGUCUUUGGUUGAAAGGCGGCUUCGGCUGCCACUUACGGAUGGGCCCGCGGCGCAUUAGCUAGUUGGUGAGGUAACGGCUCACCAAGGCGACGAUGCGUAGCCGGCCUGAGAGGGUGACAGGCCACACUGGGACUGAGACACGGCCCAGACUCCUACGGGAGGCAGCAGGAGGGAAUCUUCCGCAAUGGAAGAAAGUCUGACGGAGCGACGCCGCGUGAGCGAAGAAGGUCUUCGGAUCGUAAAGCUCUGUUGUUAGGGAAGAAGAAGCGUCGUUCGAAGAGGGCGGCGCGGUGACGGUACCUAACGAGAAAGCCCCGGCUAACUACGUG